rnacentral:rRNA from 1 species
UACCAGCACCCCGAGUGGUCGGGACGUUUAUUGGGCCUAGAGCAUCCGUAGCCGGUUCUACAAGUCUUCCGUUAAAUCCAACUGCUUAACAGGUGGGCUGCGGAAGAUACUAUAGAGCUAGGAGGCGGGAGAGGCAAGCGGUACUCGAUGGGUAGGGGUAAAAUCCGUUGAUCCAUUGAAGACCACCAGUGGCGAAGGCGGCUUGCCAGAACGCGCUCGACGGUGAGGGAUGAAAGCUGGGGGAGCAAACCGG